rnacentral:tRNA from 1 species
GGAUUGUGGCUCAGUGGUAGAGCUCUUGUCUGUCAUGUGCAAGGCCCUGAGUUGGAUCCUCAGCACCA